rnacentral:rRNA from 1 species
UACGUAGGGUGCGAGCGUUAAUCGGAAUUACUGGGCGUAAAGCGUGCGCAGGCGGUUUUGUAAGUCUGUCGUGAAAGCCCCGGGCUUAACCUGGGAAUUGCGAUGGAGACUGCAAGGCUGGAAUCUGGCAGAGGGGGGUAGAAUUCCACGUGUAGCAGUGAAAUGCGUAGAGAUGUGGAGGAACACCGAUGGCGAAGGCAGCCCCCUGGGCUAAGAUUGACGCUCAUGCACGAAAGCGUGGGGAGCAAACAGG